rnacentral:tRNA from 1 species
GGGGUUGUAGCUCAGUGGUAGAGCGCUUGCCUUGCAUGCAUACGGCCCUGGGUUUGAUCUCCAGCACCA